GACGAACGCUGGCGGCGUGCUUAACACAUGCAAGUCGAACGGUGAAGCUCCAGCUUGCUGGAGUGGAUCAGUGGCGAACGGGUGAGUAACACGUGAGCAACCUGCCCCAGACUCUGGAAUAAGCGCUGGAAACGGCGUCUAAUACUGGAUACGAGAUCAAGCCGCAUGGUUAUGGUCUGGAAAGUUUUUCGGUUUGGGAUGGGCUCGCGGCCUAUCAGCUUGUUGGUGAGGUAAUGGCUCACCAAGGCGACGACGGGUAGCCGGCCUGAGAGGGCGACCGGCCACACUGGGACUGAGACACGGCCCAGACUCCGACGGGGGGCAGCAGUGGGGAAUAUUGCACAAUGGGCGGAAGCCUUAUGCAGCGACGCCGCGUGAGGGAUGACGGCCUUCGGGUUGUAAACCUCUUUCAGCAGGGAAGAAGCGAAAGUGACGGUACCUGCAGAAGAAGCACCGGCUAACUACGUG
rnacentral:rRNA from 1 species